rnacentral:rRNA from 1 species
UACGUAGGGCGCAAGCGUUGUCCGGAAUUAUUGGGCGUAAAGAGCUCGUAGGCGGUCUGUUACGUCCGCUGUGAAAACCCGGGGCUUAACCCUGGGCUGGCAGUGGAUACGGGUAGACUAGAGGCAGGUAGGGGAGAAUGGAAUUCCUGGUGUAGCGGUGAAAUGCGCAGAUAUCAGGAAGAACACCCGUGGCGAAGGCGGCUCUCUGGGACGGUACUGACGCUGAGACGCGAAAGCGUGGGGAGCGAACAGG